rnacentral:misc_RNA from 1 species
AACCAUAGAAACCUGCGGAGUACCUGCGGAAGGAUCAUUAAAGAUUGACCGAAAGGUCUUAUCUCUAUAUCCCUCACCUCUGUGAACUGUGGACCUCCGGGUCUAUUUAACAAACAUCAGUGUAAUGAACGUAUAUAUCAUUAAACAAAACAAAACUUUCAGCAAUGGAUCU